UGCACCUACGGGGCGCAGCAGUGGGGAAUAUUGCACAAUGGGGGAAACCCUGAUGCAGCAACGCCACGUGAGUGAAGAAGUAUUUCGGUAUGUAAAGCUCUAUCAGCAGGGAAGAAGAUGACGGUACCUGAGUAAGAAGCCCCGGCUAACUACGUGCCAGCAGCCGCGGUAAUACGUAGGUGGCAAGCGUUAUCCGGCUUUAUUGGGUGUAAAGGGCGUGUAGGCGGGAAUGCAAGGCAGAU
rnacentral:rRNA from 1 species